GCCUUCGUGGCUCAGCUGGUUAGAGCAUCCACAACGGUCCACCUAUCCGGAGAUCGCCAGUUCGAUCCUGGCCGAGGGCA
rnacentral:tRNA from 1 species